UACGAGGGGGGCGAGCGUUGUUCGGAAUUACUGGGCGUAAAGGGCUCGUAGGCGGCCAACUAAGUCAGACGUGAAAUCCCUCGGCUUAACCGGGGAACUGCGUCUGAUACUGGAUGGCUUGAGGUUGGGAGAGGGAUGCGGAAUUCCAGGUGUAGCGGUGAAAUGCGUAGAUAUCUGGAGGAACACCGGUGGCGAAGGCGGCAUCCUGGACCAAUUCUGACGCUGAGGAGCGAAAGCCAGGGGAGCAAACGGG
rnacentral:rRNA from 1 species